GCCCAGGUAGCUCAGUAGGUAGAGCAGAGGACUGAAAAUCCUCGUGUCGGUGGUUCGAAUCCGCCCCUGGGCACCA
rnacentral:tRNA from 4 species